GACGAACGCUGGCGGCGUGCUUAACACAUGCAAGUCGAACGGAAAGGCCCUGCUUUUGUGGGGUGCUCGAGUGGCGAACGGGUGAGUAACACGUGAGUAACCUGCCCUUGUCUUUGGGAUAACUUCAGGAAACUGGGGCUAAUACCGGAUAGGAUCUCCUGCUGCAUGGUGGGGGUUGGAAAUUUUCGGCGGUUGGGGAUGGACUCGCGGCUUAUCAGCUUGUUGGUGGGGUAGUGGCUUACCAAGGCUUUGACGGGUAGCCGGCCUGAGAGGGUGACCGGGCACAUUGGGACUGAGAUACGGACCAGACUCCUACGGGAGGCAGCAGUGGGGAAUAUGACACAAUGGGCGGAAGCCUGAUGCAGAAACGCCGCGUGCGGGAUGACGGCCUUCGGGUUGUAAACCGCUUUCGCCUGUGACGAAGCGUGAGUGACGGUAAUGGGUAAAGAAGCACCGGCUAACUACGUG
rnacentral:rRNA from 1 species